rnacentral:misc_RNA from 1 species
GUUCAUCACUAAAUACUCAUGAAAGUGUAGCUUCUUCAUGAUUAACAAGAAGUUAGUGUUACCGUAAAGCUCAACUUAUCUGAAGAAACAUCAAUGAACAGAAAGAUAAACCGUCAAAUAACAAAUAAAGAGAGGCACACAAGUCAGAAGUAAGCAAAUGGUAACACUAACUUGCAAUCUAGCAUUACCAAGUUCAAAAAUAAAGGAGCCAUCUUUUCUUAGCGCGCCAGUGUGAGAAAGUACAUUAUUGCUCCAGCUCUCCAAAAAUCAUCACACGUCUUCAUUUUGGGCAAAGUAGUAAAUGAGGAAAGGACAUCAAAUGAGGGUCCUAUAGGUCUUGCUAGAUACCUUCUGAGAGCCAACUGUAACUACGGAGAGAGUCAGUAAGCAUAGAAGUCAUCAAAGCCGAAGCAGUGACCGUGUGGUAUGGUUGCAGUGACACCAAACAAGCGCUCAUCUCAGAAGGACACCUGAAGAUGCGAUGAGAAAGAGAACUUUUAGAAGGCGUGCGCAAGGGAGAUCGAGCGGCUUUAGCCUCCGAUGCGAUCCUUGAUGCCGCAUUACGCAGGGACGGUGACCGGAAAAUGGAUCUAGCGGCGGCGAUGGCCAUGGGAAAGGAGAAACAAGCGUUCAGGAUGUAUGCUAAUGGAGAAAAGAUUUACUGUUGAAAUGAAAUUAGAGGGUUUUGGGCCAAACCCUAGCGGAAUGCUUGGCUUGGCUGCACCUUCGAGUCGGCUUUACUUUGGAGGAGUGCAAAAAUAGCCAAAUUGAAGGAUCCUAUUUAAGGU